rnacentral:rRNA from 1 species
GAUGAACGCUGGCGGCGUGCCUAAUACAUGCAAGUCGAGCGAACAGACGAGGAGCUUGCUCCUCUGACGUUAGCGGCGGACGGGUGAGUAACACGUGGAUAACCUACCUAUAAGACUGGGAUAACUUCGGGAAACCGGAGCUAAUACCGGAUAAUAUAUUGAACCGCAUGGUUCAAUAGUGAAAGACGGUUUUGCUGUCACUUAUAGAUGGAUCCGCGCCGCAUUAGCUAGUUGGUAAGGUAACGGCUUACCAAGGCAACGAUGCGUAACCGACCUGAGAGGGUGAUCGGCCACACUGGAACUGAGACACGGUCCAGACUCCUACGGGAGGCAGCAGUAGGGAAUCUUCGGCAAUGGGCGAAAGCCUGACGCAGCAACGCCGCGUGAGUGAUGAAGGUCUUCGGAUCGUAAAACUCUUUUAUUAGGGAGGAACAAAUGUGAGAGUACAUCUGCACGUCUUGACGGUACCUAAACAGAAAGCCCCGGCUAACUACGUG